rnacentral:rRNA from 1 species
GACGAACGCUGGCGGCGUGCUUAACACAUGCAAGUCGAACGGAAAGGCCCUGCUUUUGUGGGGUGCUCGAGUGGCGAACGGGUGAGUAACACGUGAGUAACCUGCCCUUGACUUUGGGAUAACUUCAGGAAACUGGGGCUAAUACCGGAUAGGAGCUCCUGCUGCAUGGUGGGGGUUGGAAAGUUUCGGCGGUUGGGGAUGGACUCGCGGCUUAUCAGCUUGUUGGUGGGGUAGUGGCUUACCAAGGCUUUGACCGGUAGCCGGCCUGAGAGGGUGAACGGCCACAUGGGGACUGCGAUACGGCCCAGACUCCUACGGGAGGCAGCAGUGGGGAAUAUUGCACAAUGGGCGGAAGCCUGAUGCAGCAACGCCGCGUGCGGGAUGACGGCCUUCGGGUUGUAAACCGCUUUCGCCUGCGACGAAGCGUGAGUGACGGUAAUGGGUAAAGAAGCACCGGCUAACUACGUG